AAUGGAUAAGCGCGAGGCCGAUCAGCCGCAGCGGCAACAAGAGGAGAGGAAAAGCGAAAGGGAAAAGGAGAGAUCAGAAGGCAUUCCGUUGCAGAGCAGUCCGUACGUGAAUUAUAAAGACUUGGAAGAUUACAAAAACCAAGCCUACGGAACUCAAGGCCAUCUUCAGCCCAAGCCCGGCCGUGGCGGCGGCGGUGGUCCCACCGACGCCCCCACUCUCUCCGGUGACGCCGUCGCUUCCUCGGUGAUUA
rnacentral:misc_RNA from 1 species